GAUGAACGCUGGCGGCGUGCCUAAUACAUGCAAGUCGAGCGAACAGACGAGGAGCUUGCUCCUCUGACGUUAGCGGCGGACGGGUGAGUAACACGUGGAUAACCUACCUAUAAGACUGGGAUAACUUCGGGAAACCGGAGCUAAUACCGGAUAAUAUAUUGAACCGCAUGGUUCAAUAGUGAAAGACGGUUUUGCUGUCACUUAUAGAUGGAUCCGCGCCGCAUUAGCUAGUUGGUAAGGUAACGGCUUACCAAGGCAACGAUGCGUAGCCGACCUGAGAGGGUGAUCGGCCACACUGGAACUGAGACACGGUCCAGAAUCCUACGGGAGGCAGCAGUAGGGAAUCUUCCGCAAGGGGCGAAAGCCUGACGGAGCAACGCCGCGUGAGUGAUGAAGGUCUUCGGAGCGUAAAACUCUGUUAUUAGGGAAGAACAAAUGUGUAAGUAACGAUGCACGUCUUGACGGUACCGAAGCAGAAAGCCACGGCUAACUACGU
rnacentral:rRNA from 1 species